CUUGCUUUUCUGAUGACGACCGGCGCACGGCGUGCGUAACGCGUAUAGAAUCUGCCUUUUGCUGAGGAAUAGCCCAGAGAAAUUUGGAUUAAUGCCUCAUAGUAUACAGAUUUCACAUGAAUUUUGUAUUAAAGGUUACGGCAAAAGAUGACUAUGCGUCCUAUUAGCUAGAUGGUAAGGUAACGGCUUACCAGGGCGACGAUAGGUAGGGGCCCUGAGAGGGGGAUCCCCCACACUGGUACUGAGACACGGACCAGACUCCUACGGGAGGCAGCAGUGAGGAAUAUUGGACAAUGGAGGCAACUCUGAUCCAGCCAUGCCGCGUGCAGGAAGACUGCCCUAUGGGUUGUAAACUGCUUUUAUACAGGAAGAAACAGUUCUACGUGUAGAACCUUGACGGUACUGUAAGAAUAAGGAUCGGCUAACUCCGUGCCAGCAGCCGCGGUAAUACGGAGGAUCCAAGCGUUAUCCGGAAUCAUUGGGUUUAAAGGGUCCGUAGGUGGAUAAUUAAGUCAGAGGUGAAAGUUUGCGGCUCAACCGUAAAAUUGCCUUUGAUACUGGUUAUCUUGAAUCAUUAUG
rnacentral:rRNA from 1 species